rnacentral:snoRNA from 1 species
AUCCAUAGGCUCGUGUUGGGAAGAUCCACGGGGAAGGGAGACAUUGCUGCUUCCACUUGUGGACCGGUGAAUGUCUCUUGCUAAUGUUGCUUAGCUUCCCUAAAUGUCUUUCUGACGUUCUGGCGCUUGUGAGGGGAGUCUCAAGGAUCCAGAGUUUUCCUACAAUGUGCUUCUCCCUCAGCAUGAGAGGUUCUUAACCUUUUGUGCUGGGGUCUGAGUCGCUUAUCGUGGGAGUCAUGGCUCUAGGAUGUUGCCACAAACAUGUGGUUGAGGCAGAUCCGCCCCGUCAACGAGUCAAAUUAGAUUAAGCAGGAUGCAUGGCUUUGAAUUCUCUUGCUCUCCUGAGUGAGAUUGAGUUCGGCCGUCUUUGAGUUCGCCCUGCAGCAGUAUAUUCCUGAACACUGUGAAGAUCCUAGUGGUCAUUUAUCAUUUGGGUAAAACCAUACUGCAUACAUUU